rnacentral:rRNA from 1 species
GAGCGGAUGAAUGGAGCUUGCUCCUGGAUUCAGCGGAGGACGGGUGAGUAAUGCCUAGGAAUCUGCCUGGUAGUGGGGGAUAACGUCCGGAAACGGGCGCUAAUACCGCAUACGUCCUGAGGGAGAAAGUGGGGGAUCUUCGGACCUCACGCUAUCAGAUGAGCCUAGGUCGGAUUAGCUAGUUGGUGGGGUAAAGGCCUACCAAGGCGACGAUCCAUAACUGGUCUGAGAGGAUGAUCAGUCACACUGGAACUGAGACACGGUCCAGACUCCUACGGGAGGCAGCAGUGGGGAAUAUUGGACAAUGGGCGAAAGCCUGAUCCAGCCAUGCCGCGUGUGUGAAGAAGGUCUUCGGAUUGUAAAGCACUUUAAGUUGGGAGGAAGGGCAGUAAGUUAAUACCUUGCUGUUUUGACGUUACCAACAGAAUAAGCACCGGCUAACUUCGUGCCAGCAGCCGCGGUAAUACGAAGGGUGCAAGCGUUAAUCGGAAUUACUGGGCGUAAAGCGCGCGUAGGUGGUUCAGCAAGUUGGAUGUGAAAUCCCCGGGCUCAACCUGGGAACUGCAUCUAAACUACUGAGCUACAGUACGGUAGAGGGUGGUGGA